AGACCGCAGCGUCGGCCGAGAGGACGCCGGGAUACUGGCCAGCUCCAAGUCGAAAGGAAGCGACGCAUGAGUUGUUUGGUGCGAAUUUUAAACGGAAGAACGCAGAAGAAUUCUCUUUAUGUUACCUUUAUUUAGCAACAAAUCAACUUGACUCAACUGAUACUUACUGAGUGCCUUUAAAGAUGAGUCUGACUUCUGGCUAACUUUACACAAAAAAUGUACUGUAAAUUCAUGCUGAGAUCUGGGCAGGCAGAGGUAUGCAUGACCAUCUAAAGAUGUUAUCUUCACAAUGCCACUCUCCAUAUAUAUCAUGGUACCAUCUGUAUCAAGACUGGGCCAUCUCACUUCUGUUAUGUCAAUGAAGAUAUGCUGCAAGGAGAGGGGAAAAGAGACGGUGAGUAUUUUCUGUUAACAGUCCAAUUUUUCCAUAUAUUUGAUAUUUAAGUAUUGUGUAAGAAAGCUCUUAAAUAUUUGUGUUUUACUAUCUACAGAGAAUGAAAAAAUGGAGGGCCAGAUCUCAGCCUAUAUAUGAUUUUCCAGAGAAUGUUUGAUAUUGUUAAGAUUAUCACCCUUAAAAAAAAGAGAUGUAAAACAGACACAAAAUGAGAGAAAUGGUCAUAUUUAGUGUUAAAUGUAUUUUGGUUUUAAAUGUACAAUGAAUUAAACAGAUUUGUAUCCCUCCCCUCACCCUGCAAAAGUUUACUCUGAAAAAAAACUAGAAAUAAGGGAAGACCAACACUAUGAUACAUUAUAUUAAAAGCAAUCAUAGCUAAAAAUUUUUCUUUAAGUUUUAAAUAAAAAAAAAAGCAACCAUAGCUUAAAUGGUACAGGACUACCAUAAAAAUUAUUGACAGAACAACUCAGAAAAUUCAAAAACAAACUCAAUCAUAUCUUAAAAUUUACAUGAGAUAACAUAAGUUUUUCAGAGCAAGAGGGAAAAGAGAAAAUUAUUUAAACUAGUACUAGAAUUACUGAACAGCAUUUGGGAAAUUCUGUCUUGCAGGGUUAUCACAUGAACCAAAUAAGGUAACAUGUAAAAAGUACCCAUCCUAGGUAGUACCUGGCACACCAUACACUAAAAUAAAUUUCAGGAGGCUUAGAGGAAACUUUAAAAAAGUUUAAUUACUCAAAGAAAAAUUGAUUCUGACUAAUAAAAGACUCAUAACAAGUAA